rnacentral:rRNA from 1 species
UCGGAUUGUAGUCUGCAACCCGGCUACAUGAAGCUGGAAUCGCUAGUAAUCGCGGAUCAGAAUGCCGCGGUGAAUACGUUCCCGGGUCUUGUACACACCGCCCGUCACACCACGAGAGUUUGUAACACCCGAAGUCGGUGAGGUAACCUUUUUGGAGCCAGCCGCCUAAGGUGGGAUAGAUGAUUGGGGUGAAGUCGUAACAAGGUACC